AAACAUGGAGCUAAGAAUAAAAGAGGCAAUUAGGGUUACAUUCAGCAGGUCUCCAGUUAAAAAGAAAACAAGACAAAAUGCUUUCAACUUCAGGACACAACACCCCAGAUUUUACGUGGCUGUCACAGUGAAAUGAGGGCUUCUAAGCUGAGACAAGCCUCAGCUGAAAUAGGAAUGCAAACUCCUACCAGAAUCUAGCAGAAGAGCAACAAAGAAAGGAAC